rnacentral:ncRNA from 1 species
CGGUAAACGCUGGGUAGCCAAGUGCGGAGAGGAUAACUGCUGAAAGCAUAUAAGUAGUAAGCCCACCCCAAGAUGAGUGCUCUCUCCUCCGACUUCCCUAGAGCCUCCGGUAUCACAGCCGAGACAGCGACGGGUUCUCCACCCAUACGUUUUGGCUCAAAUAUGAAUUUUCCGCAAUGGACGAAAGCCUGACGAAGCAAUGCCGCGUGGAGGUGGAAGGCCUACGGGUCACCAACUUCUUUUCUCUAAGAAGAAACAAUGACGGUAUCUGAGGAAUAAGCAUUGGCUAACUCUAUGCCAGCAGCCGCGGUAAGACAGAGGAUGCAAGCGUUAUCCGAAAUGAUUGGGCGUAGAGCGUCUGUAG